ACAUACGACCAUAGGGUGUGGAGAACAGGGCUUCCCGUCCUCUCAGCCGUACUUAAGCCACACGCCGGCAGGUUAGUAGUAUGGUGGGUGACCACAUGCGAAUCCCUGCUGUUGUAUGUU
rnacentral:rRNA from 1 species